AACCGAAGCAGUGAACUUAAGCCCCAGUAAACGGCGGCCGUAACUAUAACGGUCCUAAGGUAGCGAAAUUCCUUGUCGGGUAAGUUCCGACCCGCACGAAAGGCGUAACGAUUUGGGCACUGUCUCAACAACAGACUGGGUGAAAUUGUAAUACCGGUGAAGAUGCCGGUUACCUGCGACAGGACGGAAAGACCCCAUGGAGCUUUACUGUAGCUUGACAUUGAGUCUCGGUGCUACAUGUACAGGAUAGGUGGGAGGCUAUGAAGCAUGGACGUCAGUCUGUGUGGAGCCAUCCUUGGGAUACCACCCUUGUAGUACUGGGAUUCUAACCAGCUGCCUUGAAUCAGGUAGUGGGACACUGUCAGGUGGACAGUUUGACUGGGGCGGUCGCCUCCUAAAAAGUAACGGAGGCGCUCAAAGGUUCUCUCAGUACGGUCGGAAAUCGUACGUAGAGUGUAAAGGCAGAAGAGAGCUUGAUUGCAAGACAUACAGGUCGAGCAAGGACGAAAGUCGGACUUAGUGAUCCGGUGGUACCGCAUGGAAGGGCCAUCGCUCAACGGAUAAAAGCUACCCUGGGGAUAACAGGCUGAUCUCCCCCAAGAGUCCACAUCGACGGGGAGGUUUGGCACCUCGAUGUCGGCUCAUCACAUCCUGGGGCUGUAGUAGGUCCCAAGGGUUGGGCUGUUCGCCCAUUAAAGUGGUACGCGAGCUGGGUUCAGAACGUCGUGAGACAGUUCGGUCCCUAUCCGUCGCAGGCGUAGGAAAUUUGAGGAGACCUGUCCUUAGUACGAGAGGACCGGGAUGGACGUACCGCUGGUGUACCAGUUGUUCUGCCAAGGGCAUAGCUGGGUAGCUAAGUACGGAAAGGAUAAGCGCUGAAAGCAUCUAAGCGCGAAGCCUACUUCAAGAUAAGAUUUCCCACCGCAAGGUUAAGACCCCAUGAAGACUACAUGGUUGAUAGGUCAGAGGUGGAAGUGUGGUAACAUAUGUAGCUUACUGAUACUAAUAGGUCGAGGACUUGACCAA
rnacentral:rRNA from 1 species